AUGUGCCUGGCUAACGGAGGCUUCCCAUCCGACUGGAGUCUGAGCUGGUCUGUAGCGGGGAGCAGCAGGAGCGGGGAGACCAGUCUCUGGGGCCCACAGAAGGACGGCCUGUACAGCUGGAGCAGCACCCUGACCCUCCCUCUCCAGGAGUGGACCCAGGACGUCCCAGUGACCUGCCAGGCAACACGGGGCUCCCAGACUGUCACCAAGAUCCUGAAGAAAUCAGACUGCUCCUAG